AGGAGGGGAUCCGGUUUCCCUACAAACAGGCCUCUUGUUUCUGAAGGGAAAAAAGGGAUGAGUCUGGUUGGCCAGGAGUUGGUCAGUGUGCCUAGUCUUUGGGGGGCUGAGUAGGGGGCAGAAAAUAAAUUAACAGAAGAAGAAAAGAAAGAAAAAGGAAAGAAAGAAGGGCGUUUGACACUUUCCCGACGAAGUCCUCCUUACGAAAAGAACACUAAGUGCCUGGAGGAGAAUCAGGUGUGACUUUCACAGCCCAGGCAGGUGUGCCACUAUUUUCCAAAUAAGACAUUGGAGCGAGCCCUUUAGCGUGUUGUGAGGCCAACAUUGGACAUUUCGUGCAAAAGACUGAAUGGAAGUAAUAAAUGGCUGUAGAAGGCAUAGGGGACCAGGAGACAGUAUCACAGAAUCUUCAAGCUAGAAGGAAGGUCCAAGGUGUCUCUGAACCCACACUUGAACAGGAAUCCAUUGUACAACAGGCCAAGCAAGUGAUCAAUGAAGAACUCAAUUGAUGGGGACCUCACUAGCUCCCUAAGCAACCCGUUGUGGCUUGGGAUGCUUCUCUUUACUCUGCCUCUCCUCAGCUUCUACCCAUUGCUUUUAAAGGUGACCUCUGGGGCAGAGCACAACAAAUCGGAUUCCUCUUCUCUUGGCAGCUCUUCAAAUACCUGAUGAUGGUUAUCUUUCCCAUGUUAAACAUCUCCAAGGCCUUCAACCAGUCUCUAGUGUCUCCUCUCUGAAGUCAUAGAGACAGUUGCUAGAUUGUCAUGUAUGAGGAACAGCAACUGGCUGCAAUAUAGAAUGCAUGGGGGUGGGAAUGGGGGGAGAGAAGUACCUUGUAGAAAGGUAGGCUAGAACCAGAUUGUGAGAGGCUUUUAAACUCCCAAAAGAGGAUUAAUUUAUUUAUCUUUCCCGGAGGUAAUAGGGAGCCUUGGAACUUCCUUGAGCAGGGCAUUACACGUUCUGACGUGUGCUUUAGGAACAUUAAUUUGGUAGCUGUAGAUUGAUUUGGAGGAUGGAUUAGAGAGAAGAAAGGUAGGGAGAUGGAUGAGGGGGUCAUGCAACAUUCCAGGGGAAAGGUUAUUUAGGACCUCAACUGUGUGAGUGCAAAGGAGAGGAGAGAUGUGAGUGGUACUGUGUGGGUAGAGUCAAGAGGCAUCUGAUUAUAUUGGGGAUCAGGGUGAGGGAGAGUGAAGAGCUGAGGAUACUCCAAGGCUGUAAACCCAGUGACUAGAAGGGCAGUGGUCUUCUCUGCGUUCGGAAGCUCGGGGAAGUUUUCUUGUACUGCUUCCUGCAUCAUAAUGUUCAAGUUCGUGACUUGUAGUGCUCUUUUGGGAGACCUAUAAUCCUUAAAUUAUCUACACACCUCCUGCCAUUUGGAUGGCUCUCCUAGAUCCCAAGGGCUGGGAAGAGCUGCUAGAGUGCCUUGUCUUCCAUGCACAGCUGUCUGUCUUAGCCUAGGAUCCUCAACCCUAACACCCACACUUCAUCCCAGGACUUGUGAAGAUCAAACGGGAUGAUGAAUGGGAAAGCACUUUAAAAGUUGUGUUGUUCUGGGCAAGUGAGACAGAUAACGGUCAUUAUUCACUCCACCAAAUAACCGGAGUCAUGAAUUAUGUUUCUCUUUCCACUUGUGUUCUUAAAGGGCAUUUCAGUUUUUUUCUUGAUAGAGGUCAAUGAUAAGUCGGGGCCUGAAUGCAGGCUCGACUUUGGAUUCUGGCUUAUUGUAAUUGUCUGUAUUUGUAGCUUUUCUCAAUAAUGCUCUAGCAUAGGGCUUUGUAUACCAUAAUCAAUCAAUUAAUAAAUAUUUAUGAAGCACCUACUAUGUGUUAGGCACUGUGCAGUAAUUAAUGUUUUAUUGAAUUAAUGUGGCUAAGGCAGAUCAGGGCAGAAUACUGGUGGAUAAUAAUGACAUCUCCUACUUCUACAACAUUUUGUGCUUUAUUAUUUUCCUCCCAAUGAGAUGAGGAAGUUCAAACCCAGAGAAGAAGACUUCCUGAAAGUCACAUAGCUCAUCAGUUUUGGAACUGGGCUUCCGCUGCAAAUCGGCUAACUCUAAAUCCCGCGCUCUUCCCUCUCUCUUUCUCUGCCUCUUAAAACUUGCGGGUGAUUUCCAUGGACUACAGAACCUCACAGCUAGCAGAGCCUGCAGAAGGCUUUAGUUCAAUAAUCAAGUCAUUCUCCUUGAAGAUAGAUGUGAAUUUGGGGCCACAAGGGAGCCUGCUCUGGGCCUGUCCUGUAAUAUACACAGAGGGGCUCUCUUCUUUGCCGCAUCACUGGGCCUGCUAUUUCAGGAGCCUUUGAGACUGGGACUGGGAGCUGAGCAGGGUUAAUCACAGGUCUGUGGUACAGCUGUGCACAUCUGUAAUGGUCUCUGGCUGAAUUACCCUGGAGUCAGAGGAAGUUCAUAUUGUGUUGGGCUGAUUCCCAUCAAGCUCCGUGGGGGAAGUGCUGGGGCCUGAAGAGAAUGUCAUCGGGGGUAGAGGGGAUGGAGAGGAAGCUUGUGUUUCUAUAGUGCUUUGGGGUUUAUUAGUAAUAAAUGACAAUAAUAAUAACAUUUCUGUAACCAUUUGGAGUUUA